rnacentral:rRNA from 1 species
CCUACGGGAGGCAGCAGUGGGGAAUAUUGCACAAUGGGGGAAACCCUGAUGCAGCGACGCCGCGUGAGUGAAGAAGUAUCUCGGUACGUAAAGCUCUAUCAGCAGGGACGAAAAUGACGGUACCUGAGUAAGAAGCCCCGGCUAAAUACGUGCCAGCAGCCGCGGUAAUACGUAGGGAGCAAGCGUUAUCCGGAUUUACUGGGUGUAAAGGGAGCGUAGGCGGCCGCACAAGUCUGAAGUGAAAUACCGGGGCUUAACCCCGGGGCUGCAUUGGAAACUGUGCGGCUGGAGUGCAGGAGGGGCAAGCGGAAUUCCUAGUGUAGCGGUGAAAUGCGUAGAUAUUAGGAGGAACACCGGUGGCGAAGGCGGCCUACUGGACGGUAACUGACGCUGAGGCUCGAAAGCGUGGGGAGCAAACAGGAUUAGAUACCCCGGUAGUC